GAUGAACGCUGGCGGCGUGCCUAAUACAUGCAAGUCGAGCGAACGGACGAGAAGCUUGCUUCUCUGAUGUUAGCGGCAGACGGGUGAGUAACACGUGGAUAACCUACCUAUAAGACUGGGAUAACUUCGGGAAACCGUAGCUAAUACCGGAUAAUAUUUUGAACCGCAUGGUUCAAAAGUGAAAGACGGUCUUGCUGUCACUUAUAGAUGGAUCCGCGCUGCAUUAGCUAGUUGGUAAGGUAACGGCUUACCAAGGCAACGAUGCAUAGCCGACCUGAGAGGGUGAUCGGCCACACUGGAACUGAGACACGGUCCAGACUCCUACGGGAGGCAGCAGUAGGGAAUCUUCCGCAAUGGGCGAAAGCCUGACGGAGCAACGCCGCGUGAGUGAUGAAGGUCUUCGGAUCGUAAAACUCUGUUAUUAGGGAAGAACAUAUGUGUAAGUAACUGUGCACAUCUUGACGGUACCUAAUCAGAAAGCCACGGCUAACUACG
rnacentral:rRNA from 1 species